GUAAAUCGACUAGCAAGAAUAGGUAUUUGAUAGUCUCUUAAACACCAUAUUGUCAUCUCCAGAAAAAAUAAAUGCUUCGGUUUAAUGUGCGCCGUAGACACUUGAGCCUCAAAUACUUGUCCCAUUUUACUGUCAUAGAUGUUGAAUGCAAAAAUAUUGUGAUUAAUUUUUUUCUGUUGACUCACUUUUAUUCAUGGUGUUCUCCCUUUAGGUUCACUUUGCAAUUG
rnacentral:misc_RNA from 1 species